GAUCAUGGCUCAGGACGAACGCUGGCGGCAUGCUUAACACAUGCAAGUCGAACGGAGCACCCUUGACAGAGACUUCGGUCAAUAGAUAGGAAUGCUUAGUGGCGGACGGGUGAGUAACGCGUGAGCAACCUGCCUUAGAGUGGGGGACAACAGUUGGAAACGACUGCUAAUACCGCAUGAAGCAUCGAGAGGGCAUCCUGUUGAUGUUAAAGAUUUAUCGCUCUAAGA
rnacentral:rRNA from 1 species